rnacentral:rRNA from 1 species
UACGUAUGGGGCAAGCGUUAUCCGGAUUUACUGGGUGUAAAGGGAGCGCAGGCGGCCUGGCAAGCCUGAUGUGAAAUACCGGGGCCCAACCCCGGGGCUGCAUUGGGAACUGCCAGGCUGGAGUGCCGGAGAGGCAGGCGGAAUUCCUAGUGUAGCGGUGAAAUGCGUAGAUAUUAGGAGGAACACCAGUGGCGAAGGCGGCCUGCUGGACGGUGACUGGCGCUGAGGCUCGAAAGCGUGGGGAGCAAACAGG